rnacentral:rRNA from 1 species
UACGUAGGGUGCAAGCGUUAAUCGGAAUUACUGGGCGUAAAGCGUGCGCAGGCGGUUAUGUAAGUCAGAUGUGAAAGCCCCGGGCUUAACCUGGGAACUGCGUUUGAAACUGGGAGACUUGAGUGUGGCAGAGGGGGGUGGAAUUCCACGUGUAGCAGUGAAAUGCGUAGAUAUGUGGAGGAACACCGAUGGCGAAGGCAGCCCCCUGGGUUAACACUGACGCUCAUGCACGAAAGCGUGGGGAGCAAACAGG